rnacentral:lncRNA from 1 species
GGAAAUAAGCAGAGGUCCAGAAACAGGGCUACCCACCAAUCGCGUGGUGACAGAGGAGAGAGGGUCCUAAGGACAGAUGAGGAUGUUCUUGAUUUUGUACUCCAAGUAAAUGUAUUUAAGAAUGGUUACCCCAACCUCUGAGAAAUCUGAAAGUGGCAGCUGGAAAUGCCAGUUGGGAAGGAGGAGAGUGGGGUGUGACCUUAUACGUGGUAACUCUCCCAGGGCAGACUCCAGUUUAUUCAUCUAUAAAGAGAACACAUGGCAACACUGAAUUGACAGAGUUCAAACACCAAAGGGGCAUUUGAGAACUGGAGCUGCCCGAUGGCAAGAGGGCACUUGUAUCAGAAGCUUCACUGCACAGGCCUACAAUAAAUGGUGCCUUGACAUCAAAUGAGUUGGUUGGCUAGUUCCUUCCCCAUGAAAUUGUUAUUUUAAACCCCAAACUACCUGGCAUAAUUUCCAGUCUGCUGACUGAAAAUCAGAAUGGAGCAUAACUAUUUUCCUUGCAGAAAAAGGCUGCCCAGGGAUGUACUGGAGAUGAUCAGGAGAGACAUGCUUUUCUCCUUCAAACCUUUUGCCUGCUUUGUAUUUCCAGUUUUCACAGCCCACCUUUUUCAGAGACCACACACAGAGACUACACUGAUUGGAAUCAAGUUUAAAGGCAUGGCUUACAUUCAGAUGGGGGCGAGUAGUAGCGUGAAUGAACCCUGUCUAAAGCAUGUGGAAGACGAGGAGGAACGCAAAGCCCUUAACAUCGAAGCUAUAGGACAAACUGGCUGUAUACUUUGCUUGAAGAAUUAUGAAUCAUGAUAAAAGUAACCUGUAAUGCCCCUAGAAAUAGGGCUCUUGUUUAAUCUCUGCUUAAACAUUGACUAAAGACACAAUGGCCACAUCUAGCAAUGUGAUUC